UCUGGAACUCCCGACAGAGAUGUGGGAGUGCCUCGAAAAGAGAGACCAGAACCACAGGUGUCUGCAUGGUCUGUCGAUCAGACUCGGUGUCGUGAGAAUGUUGGGGUUAAGUUCCCCGCCAACGAGUCGCAACUCAUUGUCACUAUAGUUGCUACAUUCAGUUGGGCACUCAUAAUGAGACUGCCGGUGACAAACCGGAGGAAGGUGGGGAUAGACGUCAAGUCCUCAUGGCCCUUAUGGGUAGGGCUACACACGUCAUACAAUGGCCGGUACUAAAGGGCGUGCCGAACCCGCGAGGGGGAGCUAAUCCCCAUAAAACCGGUCGUAGUCCGUGAUCGUAGUCAUGCACACUCGACUGCGCGAAGCUCGGUCAUCGCCAUAGUAAGUCGUGCUUAUCUAGUC
rnacentral:rRNA from 1 species